CGAUGUUAAGAAACAGUAAAUAUUAAUAUUAAAGGUAUUUUUCAGCUGAUCAGACAAAAUGACAUUUAAUCCAAAAACCUGAUUAUGAUUAAGAGAAUGAAGUGUCAUGUGAGUGAUCUUGUUUGGGCUGACUCAAGUGUCUGAAACUAGUGAGUUGUUUCUGGAUAUUUGACCUGAACUGUGUAUGUGGGUGAGUGUGCAAAGGACAGUUAGGCUGACACCCUAAAACUGAAUGUCCAGUAUGUAGCAUGUAAUGCAGAAGUCAGCGCCUAAGCAGCAGAGAUGAGGCCGGAGGACACAUAGAAAACAGUAGUAAUCAAUAAAUGAUUUAACUUAAUCAGUUAGAAACAGUUGCUGAGGAACCGUUUAACUGACCUUUGCACAGUAUGUAUGGGUGGGAUUUUGGGGAUAUAAGGUCUUGCAAAUGUAAGGAUCAUUGAACUUCUUCUACUGAAACUCUGUCUGAGUGGAAGGGGUUCCCAGAGCUCUGUUGUAAUAAAUUGCUAAUUUGCUGAAGAUCUAAGUAUCCUGUCUCUCUAUCAACUCUACUUCGGGCUUCCAUCAAAAGAAUCAAGGGGAACGCACUGGAGCAGUUGAGGGUAGUGCUGAUUUUCCCAACAAUUUGGAGGCACCGCUGGGAUGGAGGUUUGGAGUUAGAGUGAAUUCGGACCUCAGAGACGAUCCUGUGAACCACUAGUCCAGCUGCAGCAAUAAAAUCAGGUAAGCAGAGCCUGUUUAAUCGAAAUCUGCAGAUUGGUCUAAGCUAAAUUUUGGACACAGUGGUCUCAUUUGAUUGCCUCCAUCUAAAACAAUAGAGAGAUUGGAUCUGGGCACAUUGUAAAUAUCUAAAUUGGGGUGAAAUUUGGGGCAUUGUAUGUAGGUCUAUCGUUUUGUUUGUGGCUUGCUCGCUUGAGGGAUGAAUGGGACCAUAUAAGGGGUGAAGUACUUUUAGAGUAUGAGUGUCUAGUUUAAUUUAAAGAGUAGUUUAAAAAGUGUGAACGGGGGUCCUUAGGGAAAAGUGGGCAGUACUCCCACGAAACCACGGACGUGGCAACCCCACCUGGAUUCGGACGCGGGCCAGUAAAGCUAGGUUUUGGCGGUUCCUCGGGGUUGGUGGUCCUAGAAAUACCGAAGUUCUAUGACUGGGUUAUAGAGCGAUUCUGUGUAUGGCGUUUUGUCAGAGACAAGUAAUCUGUCUGUAUGUUUAGUUUAAAAUAUUGUAUAGCGCAAUCGGCUGCGUGCACACUGGUGCGUAGUUGUGAAGUUGCUGCAUACUAUUUUAACUGUGUGAAUGUGGUUUAAAAUAUUGUAUAGCGCAAUCGGCUGCGUGCACACUGGUGCGUAGUUGUGAAGUUGCUGCAUACUAGUUUUAACUGUGUGAAUGGGUGUGCAAGCCGAGAGGGCUUGAGUGUGAUUGGGGAGGCAGUUACAGGUAUUUGCUUCCGUCAGGGACGGCUAUUUGAGGAUAGAAGUAAGCACGGCUCGGCCGGCUGGUCAGGGACCAGGAGUACCUAGCGUUGUGUAAAAGAAAACACACAAGAGUUGUCCUAGUGCGUUUAGGAUGAUCUUGUCAUACACAGAGUAUUGCUGUACAUUUGAGCAUUAAAAGAAAAGGGGUUUGAGUCCUCUAGCAAUGUGCUUUGCUUAAUGUUGUCUGUGUCUGCGGGGUGAAAUUAAAAUUGUAAAUUAUAGUGCCUGUAAAAUUUGUAAAAUUAAGCUAAGUGAUUGUGUGUGGCAGUGAGUGAGAGAGUGAUUGUGUGUGGCAGUGAGUGAGAGAGUGAUUGUGUGUGGCAGUGAGUGAGAGAGUGAUUGUGUGUGGCAGUGAGUGAGAGAGUGAUUGGGUGGGGCAGUGUGUGUGUUUGUGUGUGGGGCAGAGAGAGUGUGUGACAGUGGAUGAGAAAGUGUGUAUGUGACAGAGUGUGUGAGAGUAGGUGAAUAUUGCAGUAAGAGGGUGUGAGCGUGUGUAUGUGACGGAUUGUGUGAGUGUGUGUAUAUUGCAGUGAGUGUGUGUGAGCGUGUGCAUGUGACAGAGGGUUUGAGAGUGUGUGUACAUUGCAGUGAGAGUGUGUGAGCAUGUGCAUGUGAUGGAGUGUGUGAGAGUGUGUAUAUUGCAAUGAGAGUGUGUGUGAGAGUGUGUAUAUUGCAGUGAGAGUGUGUGUAAGCAUGUGUGGAGCUCCGUCGGGCUCCGGUGAGAGGUAUGAGUGGAUGAAUGUACAGAGUGGUGUGUGAGAGAAAAUAAGAAGUACGGACGAGUCCCACUGCAGGGGAGGAGUCCAAGGCAGAGUAGGUGGUUAAAGUUGGGCCAAUUCACAGAAUUGGGAAAGGUUUCCUUUUGUACAUUAACAUUCUAGGAAAACACAUUAUAAAAAUAGAAAAAGGAUCAGUUCAGGAGGAAA